GCCAGGCUAGUCUCGAACUCCUGGCCUCAAGUGAUCCGCCUGCCUCGGUCUCCCAAAGUGCUGAGAUUACAGGCGUGAGCCACGACGCCCGGCUAACUUUGUUGGUUUGAAAUCCCAUCAGCUAGUCCCAGAUGGAGCUGAAAGUGGAACUUGAAUCUGACCGCAGAGCUCAGCACUCUCCACUUUCUGGUGGCUUAGGGUUGGUGGCGUUGGACCUGGGCAGAGAUCUCCCUCCAGGCAGGCAGCUGUCACCACUCGGUGCCCCAGGCUUCAGAAGCCACUUCUGUAUUUUACAACUACAAGGCCCCAAAGGACAUUCCACACAAAGCUCAGGACACAGGGUCGCAGGUGGCUUCUCACUGUCCCCAAAAGGGCCAGGCCGAAUCACUCCUCCUCUCCUCUGCCUACACCCCCUCCCACUUCCCCUCCACUCCUCAGAGCCGGCUUCAGACCCAACUAACGACACUGAAGAUUGAGAUGGACGAAGCCAAGGCACAGGGGACCCAGAUGGGGGCCGAGAACGGGGCGCUGACAGGUGCGUUGGGGUGUAAGGGAGUGGGCAGGGAUAGAAGUGGGAGGAGCCUAGGUGAAUCCUAGUUAUCCAAACAAGCACAGUUGCAAACGUAAUGCAAAUAACACGGAUAUAAACGCAAAAACUUAUGAAAAGAAUGCAAACAACAUGCAGAGGCCAUGCAAAUGUCACAAAAACAAGGCAAAUGCCACAAAACAUGCAAACUCCUUGUAAACGACUCACGAAAGCAAUGCAAACCUAUGAAAAGCUAUGCAAAUGGCACGUGGAAGCCAUGCAAUGGUACACACUAAUUUAAUUCAAAUAAAGGAAAGCGUGCAAACGGCA
rnacentral:lncRNA from 10 species